UCCUAUAAUUGAUGAUCCACGAUUUUUUUGACUUAUUUUAAAUUAGUUUAUAUAUCGUUGUAGGUUGAAUAUUUUUAAAGAAAAAGAAUGUUCAAAAUUUUUUUAGAAAGGAAAUCAGAUCAAGGUGUAGCUUAUAGAUAAGUAGAGAUGGGUUACAAUAAAUUUAUUUAUUGCGAAUUAGUAUGUGAAAUUAUACUAUAAAGAUGGAUUUGAGGGUAAUAAUAAUUAAAUUAUUAUUAUGAUUUUAGCUCUAAAAUAUGUACAUAUCGCCCGUCGCUUUCACUUUAAAGUGGAAUAAGUCGUAACAAAGUAGGCGUACUGGAAAGUGUGCCUAGACAGACAAAUUAGAGCUUGAUUAAAGCAUUUUAUUUACAUUAAAAAGUUUAUUGAUAAUUUAAUAUAAUUUGAAUGAAAAUUAUUAUUCAAGUUGUUAUUUUAUUUUUGUUUAAAAUAAGAGUUUUUUUGUUAUAUUAUUAUUUAUGAAAAAAUUAAUUUUAUUAUAGGUUAAUAUUAUUGUUAAAGAAAUAAAUUUUUAUUUCUUUAAGAAAAAUUUAUUUUUUGUACCUUGGGUAUCAGGGCUUAUUAACUUAUAACUAUUAAUUUAGUUUUCUCGAAUUUAAAAGAGUUAUUAUUAUAUUUUUUUUACUGUUAAAUAAUUAUUAUUAAUAUAAUAAUUGAAGUGAAACGUUAGUCGAUUUUAAAAAUAUCUAGUUAUCUAAGAAAAAAAUUUAAUUUUUUUGUUAUUUUAUUAUAAAAUUAAAUUUUUAGUUUUAUAUUAUUUAUAGAUUAUAUUUUAAGGGAUGAGCUUUAAAAUAGAUUUUUAUAAAUUUUUUUAUUUAUUAUUAAAAAAGUAGGAUUAUAAGUUUUUAUUUUUAAAAUUGUGUUAUAACUAUUUUAAUGUUUUUUAUAAUUUAUAUAAAUUAUUUUAAUUAUUUUAUUAGAAUAUAAAUUAAAAUUUAAAAUUAAUUUAGUAAUAAUGAUUAGAUUAGUAUAAAUUAAUGUUUAUUUAUUUAUUUAUUAUAGGUUAAGUAAAGGAAUUCGGCAAAUUAAUUUUUCACCUGUUUAUUAAAAACAUGGCCUUUUGAAUAUAAUUUAAGGUCUGACCUGCCCAAUGAUUUAAGUAUUAAAUGGCCGCGGUAUUUUGACCGUGCAAAGGUAGCAUAAUCAUUAGUUUUUUAAUUGAAAGCUUGUAUGAAAGGUUGGAUGAGAGAAUUACUGUCUCUAUUUAAAUUUAUUAAAAUUUUAUUUUUAAGUAAAAAAGCUUAAAUUUUAUUAGAAGACGAGAAGACCCUAUAGAGUUUUAUAAAAUUUUUUUAAAAAAUUUUUUAGAAUU
rnacentral:rRNA from 1 species